rnacentral:lncRNA from 1 species
GCUAGAACAUUAAAUAAAGAUAUUUUUCAAUCAAUAAAUAUGAGAAAUUCAGCAAGGAAACCAACUUUGGAUAAUUUUAAUUUAAAAGAAAAGGAGCUUAUUGAGUAAAUAUUCAAGAGGAUAAUGUGAGGAACAUUAAGAAGAAAAUAAAAGGAAAUUAAGAAUAUUUUAAUAUCAGUCCUUUCUAUAUUAAAUUAGACUGAAA